rnacentral:lncRNA from 1 species
GGGACACUGGGCAUUCCAGGCAGCGCUCUCCUAGUGGUGAUCUGGAGUUCAGGGAGGCAGACUGGGAACAGGUUCAGACGGUGGUUUUUUCGCCGGCCGCGUGCAAGCCGAGUGUGGGCUCAAUAAGGCUGAUGGCUGCGAGCAGCUCCACAGCUCCUCCCUCUGCAGUACCGCAGGGUCAACGGGUACGUGCCCCUACCCAUAAUGCCUCGGCACAUCCCACGUUCAAAUAGACGGGGCUGCUCCUUUAAGACGAUGAAACAGGACCCGGCUGCGCGCUCUCAGGGAGAGACGCUAAGGCAGCCAAGAGAGAGAGAGACAGGGAGAGAGAGAAAAACGGAGAGAGAAAGACUGUGAGAGAUAGAAGCAGGGAGGAAGAAAGAGAAGGAGGGAGAGAGGGAGAGAGAGAAAGAGAGAGGCCAGCAGAGAGGGAGGGAAAAAGAGAACUCAUUCCUUCCCUGCCCCCCACUACAAAGCGGUUAAGUUGCCAUUAUUCAUGUCGUAAUAUUAUGGGUGUCGGUUUGCGAUCUGUGCCGCGCAGAAAGGAAAGAGUCUUGUUGCUAGGAGAGGAGAGGCACAAGCCCUCCCCAUUGGCCAACAAGGACUACAGCAUUGUCCAAUCGGAGUCUUCUGGCAUCAGCAGAAGGGCACAGGUUCAAGAUCUUUCAGUGAGAAAGAAAUCCCCUUUACUUUGCUACAACCCGACUGGCAUCAGCUACAGAGGGCUGUUUUGUUUGUGAUGUGGUGCCACAGAGGGACCCAUCCGUGGGAAAUGUCUCUCUGGAACGCUAGAGAAGGGCUGGGCUCUGGGGCUUCAGAAAGGUUACCCUCGUGAGGCUGCCGGAAACAAAUGAAAAGGACGAUGAUGGAGAUGCCUUUCCAGACCACUAAUGUGGCAUUAUCUGGAUGAUAAUGCCUGAGCGUAUGCAAAUAUUCCUACAGUUUAAUUAGAGCACUUGUUAGCUGGCCCCCUCCCAUUCAUUUGCAACCAUAUUCAUUUUUGGGGGGGAUGUGGCCGGAAUUGUGUCACAUUACCACCCUCAAAUUAGAGCACAAAAGGAGUAUGUGAGAAUAUACUACAUUAAAUCUGUAUGACUGCCCAUAACACAAAUAAAAGAAAGUUUUUAUAGUCA